UACAGAGGGUGCAAGCGUUGUUCGGAAUUAUUGGGCGUAAAGGGAGUGUAGGCGGUUCUUUAAGUCUUCUGUGAAAUCUACGGGCUUAGCCUGUAACGUGCAGAGGAAACUGAAGGGCUUGAGUGUCGGAGAGGAUAGGGGAAUUCCCGGUGUAGAGGUGAAAUUCGUAGAGAUCGGGAGGAACACCAGUGGCGAAGGCGCCUAUCUGGCUGACAACUGACGCUGAGACUCGAAAGCAUGGGGAGCAAACAGG
rnacentral:rRNA from 1 species